rfam:Dipodomys ordii contig_8363, whole genome shotgun sequence.
GGGAAGGUGGCUCAGUGGUAGAGCGCUUGCCUUGCAUGCAUGAGGCCCUGGGUUC